rnacentral:rRNA from 1 species
UGGGGAAUAUUGGACAAUGGGCGCAAGCCUGAUCCAGCCAUGCCGCGUGAGUGAUGAAGGCCCUAGGGUUGUAAAGCUCUUUCACCGGUGAAGAUAAUGACGGUAACCGGAGAAGAAGCCCCGGCUAACUUCGUGCCAGCAGCCGCGGUAAUACGAAGGGGGCUAGCGUUGUUCGGAAUUACUGGGCGUAAAGCGCACGUAGGCGGAUCGAUCAGUUAGGGGUGAAAUCCCGGGGCUCAACCCCGGAACUGCCUCUAAUACUGUCGAUCUGGAGUUCGAGAGAGGUGAGUGGAAUUCCGAGUGUAGAGGUGAAAUUCGUAGAUAUUCGGAGGAACACCAGUGGCGAAGGCGGCUCACUGGCUCGAUACUGACGCUGAGGUGCGAAAGCGUGGGGA